rnacentral:misc_RNA from 1 species
AAGUCGUAACAAGGUUUCCGUAGGUGAACCUGCGGAAGGAUCAUUCCUGUAACCUGGUUCUGGGCUUGCCCAGUUCCAAAACUCUACACUGUGAACUUUUUAAACUAAACGUGUUCUGAGGGUAUCGUCGGCAGGAGCUCUGUUGGUGGCGCUUGCGCUGCUAGCACCUUUUGCCCACGCCAGGCACGCGGGGCUUUGCUAACCAUAAUUACUUGAAUCCUAAUAACUUUUUAAUCAAAUAACCUUUAACAAUGGAUCUCUUGGCUCCU